AUACGGAGGAUGCGAGCGUUAUCCGGAUUUAUUGGGUUUAAAGGGUGCGUAGGCUGUGCGUUAAGUCAGGGGUGAAAUGCCGUCGCUCAACGACGGAGCUGCCCUUGAUACUGGCGUGCUGGAGUACGGAUGCCGUUGGAGGAAUGAGUGGUGUAGCGGUGAAAUGCUUAUAUAUCACUCAGAACACCGAUUGCGAAGGCAUCUGACGAAUCCGUCACUGACGCUGAGGCACGAAAGCGUGGGGAAAGAACAGGAUUAGAUACCCUGGUAGUCCACGCUGUAAACGAUGAUGACUAACCGUCGGCGAUAGACAGCCGGUGGCCAAGCGAAAGCGAUAAGUCAUCCACCUGGGGAGUACGUCGGCAACGAUGAAACUCAAAGGAAUUGACGGGG
rnacentral:rRNA from 1 species